rnacentral:rRNA from 1 species
CGGAGCAAGUGCACGUUGGUGGCUUUCAUCCAAUACCCAUGUGAACCUUUGGCCUCUGCUGGCUUCGGCUGGUGGAGGAAUUUUUAUACACACACUCGAAUGUAAUGAAAACUAUUGUCGUGCGCAAGCACUAAUGUACAACUUUCAACAACGGAUCUCUUGGCUCUCGCAUCGAUGAAGAACGCAGCGAAAUGCGAUAAGUAAUGUGAAUUGCAGAAUUCAGUGAAUCAUCGAAUCUUUGAACGCACCUUGCACCCUUUGGUAUUCCAAAGGGUAUGCUCGUUUGAGUGUCAUUGUACUCUCACACUCUUGAAUCCUGUGGGUUCUGGGAGCGGUGGACUUGGGUGCUUGCUGCUUUUCGUAGUGGCUCACCUUAAAUGUGUUAGUGCACCUCUUGGUUGGACAUAGUACGGCGUGAUAAGUGUCUUCGCCGGCACCUCGCAAGGGGGUGGCCAACGAGAGAGCUCUGUGCUUUCAAAUCGUCUUCGGACAAUCUCUGACAACUUGACCUCAAAUCGAGUAGGACUACCCGCUGAACUUAAGCAUA